ACUGAAAUUCUUAUCACGAAAGC
rnacentral:snRNA from 1 species